rnacentral:rRNA from 2 species
UGGGGAAUAUUGCACAAUGGAGGGAACUCUGAUGCAGCGACGCCGCGUGAACGAAGAAGGCUUUCGAGUCGUAAAGUUCUUUUAUAUGGGAAGAUAAUGACGGUACCAUAAGAAAAAGCCCCGGCUAACUACGUGCCAGCAGCCGCGGUAAUACGUAGGGGGCUAGCGUUGUCCGGAAUCACUGGGCGUAAAGGGUUCGCAGGCGGAAAUGCAAGUCAGGUGUAAAAGGCAGUAGCUUAACUACUGUAAGCAUUUGAAACUGCAUAUCUUGAGAAGAGUAGAGGUAAGUGGAAUUUUUAGUGUAGCGGUGAAAUGCGUAGAUAUUAAAAAGAAUACCGGUGGCGAUGGCGACUUACUGGGCUCAUUCUGACGCUGAGGAACGAAAGCGUGGGUAGCAAACAGG